rnacentral:rRNA from 1 species
GAUCAUGGCUCAGGAUGAACGCUAGCUACAGGCUUGACACAUGCAAGUCGAGGGGCAGCGGGAAUUCAGCUUGCUGACUUUGCCGGCGACCGGCGCACGGGUGAGUAACACGUAUCCAACCUCCCGCAUACUCGGGAAUAGCCUUUCGAAAGAAAGAUUAAUGCCCGAUGGUUUCAAGGGAUUGCAUGGUAUCUUGAAUAAAGAUUCAUCGGUAUGCGAUGGGGAUGCG